rnacentral:rRNA from 1 species
CAGUCGCCGCGGGAAUACGUAGGUGACAAGCGUUGUCCGGAAUUAUUGGGCGUAAAGGGCUCGCAGGCGGUUUCUUAAGUCUGAUGUGAAAGCCCCCGGCUCAACCGGGGAGGGUCAUUGGAAACUGGGAAACUUGAGUGCAGAAGAGGAGAGUGGAAUUCCACGUGUAGCGGCGAAAUGCGUAGAGAUGUGGAGGAACACCAGUGGCGAAGGCGACUCUCUGGUCUGUAACUGACGCUGAGGAGCGAAAGCGUGGGGAGCGAACAGGAUUAGAUACCCCAGUAGUCCCUGUCUCUUAUAC